AUUCCUUCACGGGAACGGGCUUAUUAGAUUCCCUUGUCAACUGGGGCAACCCAUGUUUACGGCAAGUCAUAAUAAUCUCUAUAUCGCAUGCUUUACGGCGGCGAUACAUCAUUCAAAUUUCUGCCCUAUCAGUUGUGAUGUUAGUGUAGUGUACUACCAUGACUAAAACGGGUAACGGAGGAUUAGGGUCCGAUUCCGGAGAGGGAGCCUGAGAAACGGCUACCACUUCUAAGGAAGGCAGCAGGCGCGUAAAUUACCCAAUCCCGAUACGGGGAGGUAGUGACAAGAAAUAACAAUACUGGGGUGUUUUAUCCUUAGUAAUUGGAAUGAGUACAAAGUAAAACUCUGACCAACGAACAAUUGGAGGGCAAGACUGGUGCCAGCAGCCGCGGUAAUACCAGCUCCUAUAGUGUAUGCUAAAGUUGUUGCAGUUAAAAGGCUCGUAGUCAAGCUUUGAUCUUUUGCACCUGCACCUUUCUCUCGUAGGAAGUGUUGCGGUGUGCAGUGAUCAUUUUUCUGGCUAGCUAUUCUGUCCUUCACUGGGUGGUUGUGUGAACCGGAUCAUUUACUGUGAGACAAUCAGAGUGUUCAAAGCAGGCAUUAUGUCUGUAUGUUUCAGCAUGGAAUAAUAAGAUAAGACUUUUGGUUUCAUCUUGUUGACUAUGUACCAAAGUAAUGACUUACAGAGAUAAUUGGGGGUGUUAGAAUUUAGUGCUUAGCGGUGAAAUGCUCAGACUCACUAAAGGCUAACUUAUGCGAAAGCAUUCACCAAGGAUAUUUUCUUUGAUCAAGAACGAAAGUUGGGGGAUCGAAGACGAUCAGAUACCGUCGUAGUCUCAACUAUAAACUAUGCCAACUAGAAAUUGGCAAUCGUUAACCAUAGACCUUGUCAGAAUCUUAUGAGAAAUCAAAGUUUUUGGGUUCUGGGGGGAGUAUGGUCGCAAGGCUGAAACUUAAAGGAAUUGACGGAAGGGCACCACCAGGAGUGGAGCCUGCGGCUUAAUUUGACCCAACACGGGGAACCUUACCAGGUCCAGACUUAGUAAGGAUUGACAGAUUUCAGAUCUUUCUUGAUUCUAGGAUUGGUGGUGCAUGGCCGUUCUUAGUUGGUGGAGUGAUUUGUCUGGUUAAUUCCGUUAACGAACGAGACCUUUGCGUUCCAAUUUGGUGGUACUAACCUUCGGGUUGGUGCUUGCCGUUUGAGGGACUAGCGGUUAUUCGUCGACGGAAGUUAGAGGCAAUAACAGGUCUGUGAUGCCCUUAGAUGUUCUGGGCCGCACGCGCGCUACACUGGUACAAACAUCAAGUGCUUAUUAGGCAGAAAUGCCGAAGUAAACUUUUGAAAAUGUACCGUGAUCGGGCUUGACAAUUGCAAUUAUUUGU
rnacentral:rRNA from 1 species